AUGAGCUCUGGGAAGCAAUUCAUCCCGCUACUGGAUAAAGAUGAUCAAAGGAUUUCACUCCUGACUUAUGGUGACUCAAACCGAGGACCUUGAUCUUAGGAAAUAGUGCAAUUAAAAUUGCACUAAUCUAGUGCUAUAAAUCUAUCUAAGCAUGAGCACAUGUAAACAAUAUUUUCUAUGCAAAUAUAUGUAGGAGUGCAGCAGUGAUCGUUAUUAGCAUUUAGGAUUGAAACAUCAUAUCUAUUUCUUAAUAUAUGCAUAAUGUAUAAACUGUACGAUAUGUAAAACAACGUA
rnacentral:lncRNA from 1 species